rnacentral:lncRNA from 1 species
UUACCGGAUGUGUCUGUUAUCUAAUGUGUUUCCAGAUAUUUCCUGGUAUUUCUGUUGCAUUUUCAUAAUUCGUUUCUUUUACUCUCCGAUGAAUUCUCAGACAUGUCAUUUUUGUUUUGACGCACUUCCAAAAUCCCUAUACCAUUCCCUAGCAUUAUUUCAAGGUUCAUUGGUGUCUCCUAAAAUUCAACUGUCAUUAGCAUUAUUUCAAGGUCAAUUGUUACUCGAAAAAUUGAGCUAAGAUGGAAAAUCUUAAAAGUUUUGAAAAGGGAAAAAAUACUUGAUUUUAUAAAUGAAGGAACCAAAACUUUAAUUUAGAUAAAUUAAAAUAUCAAAAAUAAAUUUAAUCUCAUUUUUUAAAACAAAGAUGAAUUACUUAAAGUGAAUAUCAAAGAUAAAACAAAAACUUGAAUUGAUUCAUAUAAUGAAAAACUAAUGGUUGAAAAGGUGAAAAGUCUAAAUAAUGAAGAGCUAAAAGAGUGAGAGAGUGGUAAGAGAAGAAGAAACCAAAAAUAAAAAUCAACAAAAUAUAAAUAUAGAAAUAUCUUGAAUGAACAAGUUUGAUAGAAAACAAGCAACAUACUUUUUUUUAUGAGUUUCUAGAUAACUUUGUAUUUAUGGACUAUGCUAAUGGUACUUGAGAAAUAAAUGGAUAUUAAAGAGGUGGUAAUUCAUACAAAGAAGCACAAACCAGGACAUUUGUUUGGAUUCAUAAUUUUUGUGCGUGUAUGAUAAAGAGUUGUUUAGCAUGAAUCUUGAAAAUAUAAUUAUGAGAGAUUUCUUUAGAUAAUAAUAACUUUUUUAUAUGACAUCUACAUAAAAUGGUGGAGGAGCCAAACAAUUUCUCUUUGUCACCAAUUAAUUCCAAUGACAAUGAAUGCUUUUUGUGAGCUUAUAAGUCUCUCUCUCUCUCUCUCUCUCUCUC